UCAGAUGAAAGAGGUUUGAUAACUAGGCUGGCCGAUGAAGUAAAUUCUCAACCGAAUUAUUGUUCUUUUCUUGUUCGUUUUGUUUUUCGCUAUAUUAGCCGUAUUCGAAACCACACCAGUUGUUUCGUAUUUCACGUAUUUACAGUGUUUUUUUUAUUCUAUCAACUAAAUUUUAAUGUUCUUGGUGAUCCUUACUCAGCGAAAACGUUCGACAGCGCGCGGCUGCUUCCAAAAAUCUUCAAAGUUCAUUGAUACUCCGUGCAAAAUAAGCAGACCUGAAAAUGGUAUCUGAAAAAUCACAGAUACUGGGUGUUGUGUUAACUCUUCUCCUAGCCCAGUCGCAACCUGGAAGUGCCAGUUUUUGGGACUACAUAUGGAAACCGCCGGACCAGAUGCAAAAAGUGAGCGACCCUCUGAGUCCAAACCAAGCCUCGUCCCCAAUUGCCAACAACAACCCAAAUCCUAUGGAUCCCAACCGCAAUAAUCAAUAUGUUACAAAUUACAAUACAUACAAUCAACAACCACAAUCUUCAGGUUGGUCCUUCUGGUCCAUCCUCAGCGCCAUAUGGAACUACAACCUGAUAUCCUCUCUCUUUAGUGGAUUUGGUCUUGGUGGUUACGGCGGUUACGGCGGCUACGGAGGUUACGGAGGUUACGGUGGUUACGGAGGCGGAUGGGGUAUGGGACAGCCUGGGUACGCAGGUGGCGCAGGAUGGGGUGGCGGUGGUCCUGGUCCCUCUUCUGGAGGUUCAGCGUCGGCAUCUUCAGCGCGAAAAGAGAAGGUGAUAAAUCCAGGCCCGGGAGACGUGUGGCAUGAGCCUUAUGAGUCAGCGGUCAAGACUCAGCCCAAGCAAAAGAGCUUCCCCUUGCUUCCGUUUGGUUCUCGACGAUCCUUCCCCCGUUUCGGACGAAGAGGCCGGCGAGCAGUUGGUGACUAUCAACUUCACGCCAGUAAAAAGCUCGAUGGAUACGACAUCGUUUCCAGAAAUUUGCAGCAUGAACAGAUUUUCUCAGGCAACUUCUUCAUGCAGUAAUUCUCACCAUCGUCACACUGUCCAUUAUUUUCAUGCCGCGGUGAAGCCUUGUUGUGGUUUGAAAUUUUACAUAAUACUACUCUGUAAUUUUUUUUCUUCCUCAAUUUUUUUCGCGCGUUUCACCUCUCACUUUAAUAUAUUGUAAAAGGAUAAAACAUAAUUCAAAAAGAAAACAAGUAGAGAUUAUAUCGCCGGUGUGCAGACAAAUUCACUGAAAAAAGUUGCAAAACGGUACUUUGUUCAUCUUUCUUGAGUACCAGCGGAGCUUUUUUGCUUGGUGAAAGUCAUAAGGUUACAUACAGCGUCAAGACAAAAAGUCGCUGAGGACAAGUCUGCCCAUCUCUCUCACUCCUUACGUCAUGUACACGUUCGUCUUUCACCAGUCAUUCGUGAGAGCCUUUGCGUUGCGUCUCGGGCGGUGCUGCGAGGGCCAAGGACAAGAUGUAGCGAACGCCUUCAAUGAUUUCCCUAUGCAACACGGACAUCCACUGAGCACGAAUAGUUGUAUCCAGGGGCCAGAAACAAAAUCGUGUUACAUUUGUCUACACGUGUCUACAACACGUGUUACUAGAGCGUCGCGCGUGGUGCGUCGUGUUUUUGCUUGUUGAAAAUAACAUUCUCACGAGAUGAAAUUAGACUGUCCUGUAUUGAGAACCACCCGUUUUGGCAGACUCCAAGUCCAAUCAUAACUUGGCUCAAUUGAACUUGAAUCUUGAAUCUAGUGAUGAAAAAGAACGAAUCAGUAAUUUUUGGCCUCGCUACAGGUUUUUUCUCUGUAAUGUGCCUUACUCCUCCGUCGAAAUCCUCGAAGCGAAGAAACACAGGCUUUGAAUGGAGUCUUAAGCCUCGGGGCGCUGGUGCGUCUAGAGACAUCAAACCGCAUACGAAAAGAUACAUUAUUCACAUGAUUGGCGUCAACCCACGGCGACGAAUCCUCCUCAAAAAGUGAGGCUUCCACCAUUGCAAGUGUCGUCAAAUAUUCAGUCACCCAACUCUUCCGUGCUUGAAUUUUACGGCUUGGUGCUUUCAGUCUUUCCUCUCUUAGAGGCCAAUCGUUAUGAGGCUGAGCGUGGGUUUGCAUCGUACCAAUAUAAAGAAGAUAAUUAUUUACCACUGAGUAUUUGGGUAGCGUUAAGCAAACCGCAGUCAUACUUACAUUCGGCUUAUCGGAAAAAGUUUGGUAUCGAAAAGAGCGGAAACUGCAUUCAGCAAACGAAAUAUACCUACAGAAGGCGUAUACACUUAAAUGGCUAUAGAGAGUAAUUGAGCUUUGGGUGUUAUUCAUGAGUGAUGUCUGUCACCCGCGCCAUUGAGUCGCUCCCAUCCCUUCCAAUUUCUCAUGCGUUUCAAGUAUGUUAGCAGGUUCACAUCAUUGCACUUAGGUCUUCCCUCAAAAAUCUGUAUGUAGAUAGGGAGUAGUUGCUCAACACCAUGCAUUUCAAUGAUUCCGGUCGAAAAUUGCGAAUUCCUGAUUUCAACAUCACAAAUUUCCGUUCGUGGUGUAUUUUUUUAUGUAUAAAAAAUGAAGCAACAGUUUUUCUUCACAGCUAGUUUGAAUAUCCAAACGUCGCAGACGAGAGACGCAUUAUUAAAACUGAGCCAUUGAUUUUUUCUUUGGUGUAGGAAAAUUAAAUAUAUGAUGCUCCGCGGUGGAAGUACCAGCAAAUAUAUCACAACAUCAAGCUCACUAUUUCUGUUUAUUUGUUUUCCAACGCUCGGAAGAUGCAAUAUUUGGGACUACAUCUGGCAGAGCCCGUCAAAGAUUGCGGAAAAAUUCGGCCACCAAGCCUUUGCGAAUCCACAGAGGCCAGGAAUAAUUGAGCAGCCACAUGACAAUCAAGUGUAUUCACCGAACCAGCAUAUCCCACCUAACUAUAAUCCACCGUUCCAACUGAACUCACAGUAUGCACCUGUAGCGUCGCAGCAAAAUCCAGCGUAUGCACAGAACCCACAGAAUGCACCAUCAGCCCCGAAUCUGUAUCCAUCCAACUCGCAACACUUACCUUUGCCAGCAUCGGCGCAAGGUUACCCUCAACCUCAGUAUCCAGGAAUGGCGCCAUACGCACAGUAUCCAGGAUUGGUGCCGAACCCCCAAUAUCCAGCGAUGGCGCCAAACCCACAAUAUCCAGCGAUGGCCCCAAACCCGCAGUUUCCAGCAAUGGCUCCGCAUCCACAGUAUCCAGCAAUGGCGCCAAACCCACAAUAUCCAGCAAUGGGAUAUCCACAGCCUGCACAGGUCCCUGUGCAACCUCAGUAUGCUCCAGCACCACCAGUUCAGACGGAGAGUGCUUUUUCAAGGUAUCUCCGAUAUGCGGCGUAUGGAAUGAGCAUUAUUGGAGAUUUGUUUCAAAUAAGACACAAUCAUCGUCAGCAGAAAACUCUCUCGCAAA